GGGGAGAUACCCAAGCGGCCAACGGGGGCAGACUGUAAAUCUGCUGGCGCACGCCUACGGGGGUUCGAAUCCUCCUCUCCCCACCA
rnacentral:tRNA from 1 species